rnacentral:rRNA from 1 species
UACGGAGGGGGCAAGCGUUGUUCGGAAUUACUGGGCGUAAAGGGCGAGUAGGCGGCUUCGUAAGUCGCGUGUGAAAGCCCCCGGCUUAACCGGGGAAUUGCACCUGAAACUGCGAGGCUUGAGUCCGGGAGAGGGGGGCGGAAUUCCCAGUGUAGCGGUGAAAUGCGUAGAUAUUGGGAGGAACACCGGUGGCGAAGGCGGCCCCCUGGACCGGUACUGACGCUCAGGAGCGAAAGCUAGGGUAGCGAAUGGG